rnacentral:rRNA from 1 species
UACGUAGGGUGCAAGCGUUGUCCGGAAUUAUUGGGCGUAAAGAGCGUGUAGGCGGCCCGAUUAGUCCGCUGUGAAAGUCCAGGGCUCAACCCUGGAAUGCCGGUGGAUACUGUCGGGCUAGAGUCCGGAAGGGGCGAGUGGAAUCCUGGUGUAGCGGUGAAAUGCGCAGAUAUCAGGAGGAACACCAAUGGCGAAGGCAGCUCGCUGGGACGUGACUGACGCUGAGGCGCGGAAAGCCCAGGGGAGCGAACGGG